CUAGAAAUCUGUUCAUAGACAUCGCAUGUUUUAAAUCGGUCAGACUUGCCCACGAUGUAAAAAAGUAAUCUAACAUCGUUUUACGAAAAUACCGAUUUAAAUGUAUGUCAUUAACACCAGUUCUUAAAAUGACCGGUGUUAAAAGUUUAGUUCGAAAAUUUGCGGGAACCUAUUUUUGCAAAAAAACGCUAAGUUUUUAAGUGAAAUGAAGAAGCGGGGACUAAAACUCAAAACUUUCACACUUAGAAAAAAAAUUGCGCCCAAAUAGAAACAGAUGGAAAACCCUAAUGUUACUCUCCCUCGACCUCCUUCAUUCUGAACUCCUCCCAAACUAGAUCUCCUCCCAAACUCGACCUCCAUUCUGGACCCUAAGCUCACUCGAACUCGCCGCCAUUCUGGAGCUCCUCAUUGCUUCCUUCAUCUCCCUCUCUCUCCCUCCCUAGUUUCACAGGUAGCUAGCUCACACAAAUCGAGCCAUGGCUCCUCCCAGUAUUCUCAGUCCUCCCGAGUUCCACAAACCCUCACCCACCACCACCGCUCCGCGCGCCACCCCAACCCAAAUCCAAACCCACCACCGGCGAAUCCUUCGUGGACCUGAUGGUGGCGAAUUUCAACGACGUCGGAACCAAGCACGACCUCCCAAUGGGCCUGACGGAGAACGACUCUGCCACGUUUCUCUCCACCGGCAACCCCUGCCUCGAUCUCUUCUUCCACGUCAUCCCAAACACUCCAGGCGACUACCUCACGUCCUCACCGAUGGGACUCCAAUGGUGGCCAGUGUCGUGUCACUGGAUUCUUCCUUUAUCGCAAUCACUUCAUCUUCUUCACCUUCAUAUUCUUCUUCGUUUUUAACGAAACUAAGGCACGCGCCGAGUCUGUGACUUUGUUUUGCAGUCACGCCCUUGAGUGGGAAGAAGCACAUGGCUCACACAAUUGCUCACAUCACUCUCGGCCUCACUCAGAUUUCUUCUGUCUUUGAAGCCCCAAAGGUUUUGCUCUGCUCCGUUUCGCUGAAAUAUUUGGAAUUUUAAAAUUGCUUGGCAUGUAUGUGUUAUUUGUAUAGAGAUUUUGUUAUCUGGAUUAGUUUUUGGUGUUAAUUUUAGGAAAAUAAAAAUCUGAUCUAGAACUACUUUGUAGUUGUUCAUGAUUGCUCUUAUUAGUUGUUUGAUUGAUCUUGAGCUUUAUAUAUGUAAAGGAUCGAUCUAUUUUGAUGUGGUGAUUCGAUUUUUGUGUUUAUGUGAUUAACUUUUGUGGAAUUGAAGCUAUACAUAAUAUGUGAGCAAUUUGAUUUGAUUGUAACUGGAUUUCGUUGUGUGAUGUAUUGAUUUGAUUGUGAUUUAUGAAGCUCACUAGCAGAAGAGGCCUCAAACAUUGCUUCCUUAUAUAGUGAUGUUCUACAGGUAGAGGUUCUGGGCUGUUGGUUGGGCUGAUUGGGAAAAGGUGAAGUUUUCAAAGGUUGAAUUGCUCCCAAAAGGCUUGGAAAUCCGGACUGAAGUUUUCAAAGGUGAACUUUUUUAUUUUUUGCGUAUCUUGAACGAGGUUGAGUAUGUUAUACUGUUUCCACUCAAUAUUUGGAGUGCGAAAUCUUGCCAAUGUUCUCACACCUGGUUCAUUUUAGCUUUACUAUUGCCAUUUUGGUGGGCCAUACUUGUAAUUUUUAUGUUGAUUGAGUUAUAUCUAGUAUUGCUAUGUGCUUGCUUCCUCGAAGGCUUGGAAAUCCGGUUUCAAUUGCUCGCAAUAGGAUUGGAAAUCUGGUUUCUUUCACAGAAGAUUUUCCUCUGCUGAACUUGCUACGAGGACUGGUAUAAUCUAGGUGGUUUUCAGGUAGGAGGUGGGAUCAAUUCAGAUAAUUCUUUGCAAUACAUAGAAGAAGGGGCUACCCACGUCAUUGUCACUUCUUAUGUAUUUAAUAAUGGGCAAAACCUUGAAAGGCUUAAAGAUCUUGUUCGUGUUGUUGGAAAAGAAAGGCUUGUUUUAGACCUUAGCUGUAGAAAGAGGGAAGGUAAAUAUGCAAUUGUCACAGAUAGAUGGCAAAAGUUCAGUGACGUGUAUCUUGACAAGGAAAUAUUAGACUUCAUUGCCAAGUAUGCAGACGAGUUUCUGGUACAUGGUGUCGAUGUGGAAGGGAAAAAGUAAGUCAUUUUUAUUGCCAUACAUGUUUCUUUACACAAUACAUAUGCUUACAUAAGUGCGGCAGAAAUAUAGAUAUUUAAAUAAAUGCUCAUGAAAACCAUUUCCUUGUGCGAGUCUUUUUUUAUAUUUUGUCUGUUUCUUUAUAUGGUCACACUCUUUUUGUUGUUAUCAAGAAAACAUAUUUUACCAAUAAAUUAGAAUAGUUGAGGAAAUUUGGUGGAUUCCCGAAUUAUAAAUUACUACUGAUUUUACUACUGUUCAGAACAUAGUGUAUAUGUUCUUUGGUUUACCAAGAGUCGAAGUAGUUUAGAUUGAAAAGAUUUGGCUUAUUGCUGCUUUUUCCGUUAGUUUUAGGCAGUGUUUGGUGAGACUUCUUCUGAUAAUCAACUAGCAGAAGAACAUAUGUAUAGCUGGUUUGACUUUUGAAGAUGAUCCAGUCGAUAAAAGUGAAAAGCUGGAACGAGAUGGGAAACAAUGGGUUGAUAUGUGCUCUUCAAGGUGUUAUGUACCCAGAGUGCAUGAUAAUGUCCUGCUGCAAAAGUGGCUAUGUGAGAAUAAUACAAAACGUUUUCUUUAGCAUAAUUUACCCCAACCUAACACUGGCUGACCUGAAUAAAGAACUGUUCAGUAAUUGGUGCUAGGGUAGGUAUUCACAAUCUGGUCAGUUCAAGUGUGUUUAUUAUACAAAUAAAUAAAAGCACAUUUAUGUAGAUUAUGUUAAAUUUCUACUUGUUUCUGACUAUAUCAGGAGCUCAGUUAAGGCCCUGGAAGUCUCUCAUUUUGCUAGUUACUGAUGUCACUGAAAACAUGUGCAUAUAAGUAUACCAUUUUUCUUGUGCUCCUUGAAUCCUGUUUUCUUUUUCUUUUUCUUUUUAUGGAGAAGAGUGCUCCUUGAAUCCUUAAGCCUGAUACUCUUAACUUUCAUUUUAUCUUGUGCUUUACAGAUUAUGAAAAUAAUGUUUCUGAAUACAGGGUUUGUGCAUCUGGCUUCUGUUAUCCUUAUUCUUAUCUUUUCCCAUCAAGUUCUUUAUAUGGGCAGUUUUAUCAACCAUGAUACAUAUGGAGCUCCCACACAUAAAUGUCUUCUCUAAGAUUGAUUUGAUACAAAACUAUGGAAGCUAGGUACUUGCAUGAACUUCUUACUCAAAGAGAUGAAUUUGACACCAUUGCUUUGUUGAUCCGGCAUCUACAUAUAAUUGUCAAAGAGACGACUUUGUACGUAUUGAAGUGGCUGAUUAUAUACAGAGUUUGGCUACCAACAUGAUUUUGAGUAAGACUAGUUUUUGCUUUGAAGCAAAGUUUGGUGUUGAACUUUUGUAGUUGGUUGCUAAUAUGUUUAUAGGCUAGCCUUUGUAGGUUUUGGGGUUUUAUUUUGUGAAUUAUGUAGAAUCAUGAAUGAAGAUGAGAAAAUUAAUGGAAAGCCCCAAUUUUUGAAUGAUGAGA